UUCAGCCCAGGAAAAACAAGAAACUCUCAAGAAUUAACCUACUUAAAUAAAUCAACAUAAGGAGCUAUGCUAAAAUCCACACCAUCUUCCAGAGUCAAUGGCUGAAGUGAACAUCUCCUAUGUCAGUGAAUUCAUUCUAAAGGGGAUCACAGACAGGCCAGAACUCCAAGCCCCAUGUUUUGUGAUGUUUUUGACAAUCUAUCUAGUCACAGUUUUAGGCAACCUUGGGUUGAUUGUCAUAAUCAGGGUUGACUCUCGACUCCACACACCUAUGUACUUCUUUCUCAGUCACCUAGCCUUUGUUGAUCUCUGUUACUCAUCUGCUAUCACACCAAAGAUGAUGGUGAACUUUGUGGUAGAGCGCAACACUAUCCCUUUCCAUGCUUGUGCAACACAGCUGGGCUGUUUUCUUACCUUCAUGAUUACAGAGUGUUUCCUUCUGGCCUCUAUGGCCUAUGAUCGCUAUGUGGCCAUCUGCAGCCCCCUGCAUUAUUCAACACUGAUGUCAAAGAGAGUGUGCAUUCAAUUAGUGGCCGUUCCUUAUGUGUACAGCUUUCUAGUUGCCCUUUUCCAUACAAUCAUCACCUUUCGCUUGACAUAUUGUGGACCUAAUGUAAUCAACCAUUUCUACUGUGAUGACCUUCCCCUCUUAGCUCUGUCCUGCUCAGACACGCACAUGAAGGAAAUUCUCAUAUUUGCUUUUGCUGGCUUUGAUAUGAUCUGCUCCUCUUCCAUAGUUCUCACCUCCUACCUCUUUAUCAUUGCUGCCAUCCUGAGAAUCCGCUCUACCCAGGGAAGACGCAAGGCCAUCUCUACCUGCGGCUCCCACAUGGUAGCUGUUACUAUUUUUUAUGGUACGCUCAUCUUCAUGUAUCUACAGCCCAAAUCCAACCAUUCCCUGGACACAGACAAAAUGGCUUCAGUGUUUUACACAGGUGAUCCCCAUGUUGAACCCCCUCAUCUACAGUCUUAGGAACAAAGAGGUGAAAGAUGCCUCUAAGAAAGCUUUGGAUAAAGGGUAUGAAACCUUAAAAAUAUUAAGAUUAAGUAAAUAAUGACAUCAUUUAUUAUGUAUGAGCAGGGAAGUAAACCCAAACUUUUAAAUGUAAUUUAUUCCCAAGCAGUUGAAAAAUGCCUCUCUUACUUUAACAGUCUUAAAUGUUUUCUGUGAGUUUACAAGUAGAUCAUGGGAACACAAUAUAAUAAAUCU